rnacentral:lncRNA from 1 species
UGGUAUUUCUAGAUCCUUACCAAGGCAGUAAUGGUGUAUGCCUUCUCUCAAAGUAUGUGGUAUGUUUGGUAUGAGGCAUAGUGACAUUGCCUUCUCUCUCACCCUACUCUAAUAUGGUUUUGAUAACUGGAGCUCAUAGGUGGGAGAAAGCUAAUACAUACUUACAAGACAUUUAUUGCAUAGUCAAACCAUGGAUCUAGAGAAACAAGUCAAUAAGUCAAAUCAAGAUGUGCAUGUGUGGCGAAUGAAUGGUGAUAAUGGUGAAAAUAAUGGUGAAAGUCUAAUUCUACCUUUGCUCUUUUAAGGGGGUACAUACCUUCCUUGCACUUGAGGCUUUUGAGGGGAAUGAGAUGGUCUAUAUUUUAUUUUUCUUUUCUCUCAGGUGGGUAUCUUGUACCCCUAAUUCUACUGUCAGACACUUAUCCAUUUUUACCUCUCGUCUCACUUUUCCUUUUCUUCGACGUUCCAGGCACUUGCCCCUUUUUAUUUCCUCGUAUUUUUCCUUUUUCUUCUCUUUUUUAGAGCACUCACCCUCGUGGAAUAAUGUAGCAAGUGGUAAUAACCAAAAUAUCAGGAGCAUACAGGAAGUCAUCAUGCAACAUUUUAAAGAUUUUCAAAGAUAAAAUUCUCUAGAAUUCUAGCAUCUCUAGGAACAGAUAAACAACAGCUCAACCUUCCCAUAUCGUAUGCGUUAACGACUUAGACUUUAGAUCAAGUACUCUUCCCACAAGUUUAGGUUUAGAGCAAAUCUUAAUUCAUAACAGUCAUGCCUAGACUUGAGAGAGAUUUCAAUUUUGAGAACUAGUCAUGGCAAAGCAACUAUUCAUCAUUUCCAUGUGAGAGCUUAUCAUGAGGGUUCAUAGCAAACUUUAUUUAUUUAUUUAUUUAGCAAACUAAGCAA